rnacentral:ncRNA from 2 species
CAUUAAAGAAGAGGCGCGAAUCAAAAGAGUCGCUUUCGUGAGAAUAAUCAGAUUCAUUGAGCGAGAGUAAAAGGGUGGUUUGCCGAAGUUGAGCGUAACUGAUUGAACGUGAUACUGGGACCUGUCUUAAUAAGGCAGGGACUGUCGCAACGAUGUGUUGUGGAGCGCUUCCUACGGU